rnacentral:rRNA from 1 species
AUUGAACGCUGGCGGCAUGCCUUACACAUGCAAGUCGAACGGUAACGCGGGGCAACCUGGCGACGAGUGGCGAACGGGUGAGUAAUGUAUCGGAACGUGCCCAGUUGUGGGGGAUAACUGCUCGAAAGAGCAGCUAAUACCGCAUACGACCUGAGGGUGAAAGCGGGGGAUCGCAAGACCUCGCGCAAUUGGAGCGGCCGAUAUCAGAUUAGGUAGUUGGUGGGGUAAAGGCCCACCAAGCCAACGAUCUGUAGCUGGUCUGAGAGGACGACCAGCCACACUGGGACUGAGACACGGCCCAGACUCCUACGGGAGGCAGCAGUGGGGAAUUUUGGACAAUGGACGCAAGUCUGAUCCAGCCAUGCCGCGUGCGGGAAGAAGGCCUUCGGGUUGUAAACCGCUUUUGUCAGGGAAGAAAGGGGCGACUCUAAUACAGUUGCCUCAUGACGGUACCUGAAGAAUAAGCACCGGCUAACUACGUGCCAGCCGCCGCCGUAACAC